rnacentral:rRNA from 1 species
UAAUACGUAGGGGGCAAGCGUUGCUCGGAAUCACUGGGCGUAGAGGGUCCGUAGGCGGUUCAGUAAGUUGGCUGUGAAAUCUCCCGGCUCAACUGGGAGGGUGCGGUCAAAACUGCUGAACUUGAGGGCCGGAGAGGCGAGUGGAAUUCCUGGUGUAGCGGUGAAAUGCGUAGAUAUCAGGAGGAACACCGGUGGCGAAAGCGGCUCGCUGGACGGCGCCUGACGCUGAGGGACGAAAGCUAGGGGAGCAAACAGGAUUAGAUACCCUGGUAGUCCUAGCCCUAAACGAUGGUCACUAGCUGUGCCUCCCGUUGGGGGGCGUGGCGUAGCUAACGCAUUAAGUGACCCGCCUGGGGAGUACGGUCGCAAGGCUG